GGUGAAAUCUGGUACCACUGAGCUUCAAUUAUGAGAAGAUCAAAUUAUAUUCUGAGUACCUUUUGAUGAAUUGGAAGUGAAACAACGAGAGGCGGGAAUUGUUACUUGAAACCAAAUAGUUACCGUGAACUAGGCUGAUCAAAAAUGAUGGCGAUGGCGCUGGCGCUGUUAGGGU